GACGAACGCUGGCGGCGUGCUUAACACAUACAAGUCGAACGGAAAGGCCCCUUCGGGGGUACUCGAGUGGCGAACAGGUGAGUAACACGUGAGUAACCUGCCCUUGACUUCGGGAUAACUUCAGGAAACUGGGGCUAAUACCGGAUAGGAGUCCUUGCUGCAUGGUGGGGGUUGGAAAGCUUCGGCGGUUUUGGAUGGACUCGCGGCUUAUCAGCUUGUUGGUGGGGUAGUGGCUUACCAAGGCUUUGACGGGUAGCCGGCCUGAGAGGGCGACCGGCCACAUUGGGACUGAGAUACGGCCCAGACUCCUACGGGAGGCAGCAGUGGGGAAUAUUGCACAAUGGGCGGAAGCCUGAUGCAGCAACGCCGCGUGCGGGAUGACGGCCUUCGGGUUGUAAACCGCUUUCAGCAGGGGCGAAGCUUGUGGUGACGGUACCUGCAGAAGAAGCACCGGCUAACUACGUG
rnacentral:rRNA from 1 species